AGUAAAAUCAACAGUGUUAAUCAAACAGUGUUAAUCUGCAUUUACUCUUAAGGAGUUAAUUUAACAACAAAUAGUGAAAAAUACCCCCUAGUGUUGGUGAAAAUAAUCAGAGUUGAAUUCUGCUUCGUUAAAUUUACUCUGUUAAGCUCCGCCCCUUAAGCCAACUCUGAAGACCUGAGCGGAAGUUCUCUCGUCGCCAUUUUCUUUUGCCUCGCACUAAAAGCUUCUCCUGUGCACUCAAACAAGUCCCUGUCUUCAUCCUUUGACUCCACUGACUCACAGGACACACUCAUUAUUGAAGAACGGUUUUCAAGUACACGAAUGAGGCUCGAUGAUGAAGCUAAAAAAGUACAUCACAACCAAGGAAUGUGAAUGAGAAAUAUCCCAGAGUAAUUGUGGUGUUCCUGUAUCUCAGUGGACCCCACCCCCACGAGCAUUGCUAUAUUGGUGAGCGUGCCACCAGAUACUUGACAUGGAGAAUCAAAACUAUACAGAGAGGCAUUGCUAAAGAACAAGGAGUAUCAUUUAAAGGAAAAGGAUUGUCUUGUCAAGGCCAGAAAAGGCGUCUACAUCUCAAGUGGGGAUUAGCUUGUCUUCUAGAAGAGUGAAACAAGCAUUGAGGAACAUCUUCAAGACAUCGCUGGAAGUGCUCAGUCCUAUCACCUGGCUGUUGAAACGGAGAAUUCAGUUCACCAGUUCUUCAUUCUUGAUCAACAUGUCAUUCCAUGCAAGUCAGCCUCUUCUUUUGUUGCCUUUUGAUGAAAUGUUUUAAUGGGAUUAUGUUUAAUGUUUAAUGGGUUUAAUUCACCUAAAAAUGAGAAUUCUGUCAUUAACUCUCCCUCAUGCCGUUCCAAACCCGUAAGACCUUCGUUCAUCUUUGAAACAACAAUGAAGAUAUUUUAAUGAAAUCUGAAAGUUUUCUGUCCCUCUGUUGACAGUUUACACAACUAGCACAUUCAAGGCCCCGACAGGUAGUAAUGAGACAUUAAAGUAAUCCAUGUUACUCUGUUGGUUUAACCUCAACUUUAUACACGCAUUCACACAACGACUGCUUUCAUUUCAGCAAAUCACUCAUGCGUCGUGGUGCUCUCAUGUACGCAAGUCCGGUUUUGCGUUGCUUCAUAAAACUGAAGUUAAAUCAACAGAGUCACAUGGGUAACUUUAAUGAUGUCUUUACUGCCUUUCUGCACCUUGAAAGUGGUAGUUGUGUAGGCUGUCAAUGAAGUGACAGAAGUCUCCCAGAUUUCAUCAAAAAUAUAUUCAUUUGUGUUCUGAAAAUGAACAAAAGCCUUACAGGUUUAGAAUGAAAUGAGGGUGAGUUAAGGAGAGAAUUUAUUUUUUGGUGAACUAAUUUUAAGGCACACUUUGUUUUGGGCACCAUUUAUAACACUAUUCUACACAAGAUGUACACUCUUGUUGUCAGAAUGAAAGUGUACAACAAAGAUGCUGGCAAAGUGAAGUCCUUGUAUUGCUGAGGUUAGAGCAAGGCUGCUUAGCUAGGUGGUUCAACAGAUUCUGUACUGCAUACAGUGAUGUAUUGUCAUUUCAUGCAGAUGUGAUGUAUUUUUGUGCAUAUACGUGUAUGUUUUUUGAGCCUGACAACGUUUAAAUAAAUGUUUUAAAUGUGA